GGGAGGCAGCAGUAGGGAAUCUUCCGCAAUUGAAGAAAGUCUGACGGAGCACGCCGCGUGAACGAUGAAGGCCUUCGGGUCGUAAAGUUCUGUUGUUAGGGAAGAACAAGUACCAGAGUAACUGCUGGUACCUUGACGGUACCUAACCAGAAAGCCACGGCUAACUACGUGCCAGCAGCCGCGGUAAUACGUAGGUGGCAAGCGUUGUCCGGAAUUAUUGGG
rnacentral:rRNA from 1 species